UCUUUUCUUUUUUUGUUUUUUUUUUUUUUACCUCAGCUUUCAGUUUCUAUAGAAUCACGAAGCACAUGAUCCUCAUUUACAAAAUGGCGUGAACCGUAAGCCUUAGUUUCAGCUUUCAUAUAAGUUUGUUAGAAGAGUAAAAGAAGAAAAAAAAUGGAGUGUUUAGGAGCUCGAAAUUUGGCAGCAAUGGCGGUGUUUUCUUGCCCUACGAAGAGGAGAACAGUGAGAAGAAAUAAUAAACAGAGAAGUAGCUCAGCAACACGUUGUCGUUUAUAUAAAGUGAAAGCAGGGAGCGAUAGUUGUGUGGUUAUUAAUAAAGAAGAAUUUGCUGACGAGGAAGAUUAUAUAAAAGCUGGAGGUUCUGAACUUGUUUUUGUUCAAAUGCAGCAGAAUAAAACCAUGGAUAAGCAUUCUAAACUUUCCGACAAGUUGCGGCCUAUACCUAUUGGAGAUGAUGUAUUGGAUUUGGUAGUUAUUGGAUGUGGUCCGGCUGGUUUAGCUCUUGCUGCUGAAUCUGCUAAGUUAGGAUUAAGUGUUGGUCUUAUUGGUCCUGAUCUUCCUUUUACUAAUAAUUAUGGUGUUUGGGAAGAUGAAUUUAAAGAUCUUGGACUUGAAGGAUGUAUUGAACAUGUAUGGCGGGAUACUAUAGUAUAUCUUGAUGAUGAUGAUCCUAUUUUGAUUGGUCGUGCUUAUGGACGAGUUAAUAGGCAUUUGCUUCAUGAAGAGUUAUUAAGGAGGUGUGUCGAGUCAGGUGUUUCAUAUCUUAGCUCGAAAGUGGAAAGAAUAAUUGAAGCUGCUGAUGGUCAUAGUCUUGUUGCUUGUGAACAUGAUGUUGUUGUUUCUUGCAGGCUUGCUACUGUUGCAUCUGGAGCAGCUUCAGGGAAACUAUUGCAGUAUGAAGUGGGAGGUCCACGGGUUUCUGUCCAAACAGCUUAUGGUGUGGAGGUUGAGGUGGAAAACAAUCCAUAUGAUCCUAGUCUGAUGGUCUUCAUGGAUUACAGAGACUACAUUAAACAAAAAGUUCCCCAUUUAGAAGCUGAAUAUCCAACUUUUCUUUAUGCUAUGCCCAUGUCAUCAACAAGAGUUUUCUUUGAGGAGACUUGUUUGGCCUCCAAAGGUGCUAUGCCUUUUGACUUGUUAAAGAGAAAACUCAUGUCACGGUUAGAGACGAUGGGAAUUCGCAUUCUAAAAACCUAUGAAGAGGAAUGGUCAUAUAUUCCAGUUGGUGGUUCCUUGCCUAACACUGAGCAAAAGAACCUUGCAUUUGGUGCUGCAGCUAGUAUGGUGCAUCCAGCCACAGGGUAUUCUGUAGUCAGAUCAUUGUCAGAGGCUCCAAAUUAUGCUUCUGUAAUUGCAAGUAUAUUGAAACAAGAUCAAUCUAAUGGCAAGCUUACUUGUAAAAGAAGUAACGCAAUCUCAAUGCAAGCUUGGAAUACUCUUUGGCCACAAGAAAGGAAACGUCAAAGGGCAUUCUUUCUCUUUGGACUAGCACUUAUAAUACAACUGGAUAUUGAGGGCAUUAGGACAUUUUUCCACACCUUUUUCCGCUUACCCAGUUGUGGAGGUUGGGAUGUUUUAGAAUACCGUGAUCAUAAGGAGUGGGUAGUGAGAUAUAUCAGGAUUUCUGACUCAGGAAGGAAGUUACUUGUGCUUCAGAUGAAAUCGAAUUAUUUGUCUUAAGAAUGACAUGUUGCAGAGAACCAGCUACCUAAAACACUUUCUCUGGUUCUGAUUGAUUGAUGAAACAAUAUAUGGACAACAAACGUGCUUAAUUGCGGAAAUCCUAGAGCAGCAGGAUGUGGCAGGGAUUCCUUGGUUCAAGUCUGUCCUCAGCUGAUCUCUUACUAUUUGCCUUCUAUAUGUUUGUUAUUGCACCAAAUGAUUUGAGAAUGUCCCUUGUUAGGCAUCUAUUUUCUGAUCCAACUGGAGCAACUAUGAUAAGAACUUACCUCACACUAUAGGCCCCGUCUUUUCUAUUUUCUUUCUUCCACUUUUAAGCGCCAUGAGUAGUCCAAAUAAUAGUAGGUAUUUGUAUA